CCCUUAGAUGUUCUGGACUGCACGCGCGCUACACUGAAGCGUUCAACGAAUAUUCACCUUGCCCGGGAGGGUUGGGUAAUCUUUUGAAAACGCUUCGUGAUGGGGAUAGAUUAUUGCAAUUAUUAAUCUUCAACGAGGAAUUCCUAGUAAGCGCGAGUCAUCAGCUCGUGCUGAUUACGUCCCUGCCCUUUGUACACACCGCCCGUCGCACCUACCGAUUGAAUGGUCCGGUGAAAUCUUCGGAUCUGAGAGAUGUCUGAUUAAUUUCGGACGCCUUUUGGAAAAGUUGUUUAAACCUUACCAUUUAGAGGAAGGUGAAGUCGUANCA
rnacentral:rRNA from 1 species